CAGCAGCCGCGGUAAUACGAAGGGGGCUAGCGUUGUUCGGAUUUACUGGGCGUAAAGCGCACGUAGGCGGAUUCUUAAGUCAGAGGUGAAAUCCCAAGGCUCAACCUUGGAACUGCCUUUGAUACUGGGGAUCUUGAGUUCGGGAGAGGUGAGUGGAACUGCGAGUGUAGAGGUGAAAUUCGUAGAUAUUCGCAAGAACACCAGUGGCGAAGGCGGCUCACUGGCCCGAUACUGACGCUGAGGUGCGAAAGCGUGGGGAGCAAACAGGAUUAGAUACCCCAGUAGUCCCUGUCUCUUAUAU
rnacentral:rRNA from 1 species